rnacentral:rRNA from 1 species
AGGCGACAGUGGGGAAUAUUGGACAAUGGGGGAAACCCUGAUCCAGCGACGCGCGUGGGUGAAGAAGGCCUGCGGGUUGUAAAGCCCUUUCGGUGGGGAAGAAAAGCUUCGACCUAAUACGUCGGAGUCUUGACGUAACCCACAGAAGAAGCACCGGCUAACUCUGUGCCAGCAGCCGCGGUA